CUACGGGUGGCACCAGUGGGGAAUAUUGCACAACGGGCGCAAGCCUGAUGCAGCCAUGCCGCGUGUAUGAAGAAGGCCUUCGGGUUGUAAAGUACUUUCAGCGGGGAGGAAGGGAGUAAAGUUAAUACCUUUGCUCAUUGACGUUACCCGCAGAAGAAGCACCGGCUAACUCCGUGCCAGCAGCCGCAGUAAUACGGAGGGUGCAAGCGUUAAUCGGAAUUACUGGGCGUAAAGCGCACGCAGGCGGUUUGUUAAGUCAGAUGUGAAAUCCCCGGGCUCAACCUGGGAACUGCAUCUGAUACGGGCAAGCUUGAGUCUCGGAGAGGGGGGUAGAAUUCCAGGUGUAGCGGUGAAAUGCGUAGAGAUCUGGAGGAAUACCGGUGGCGAAGGCGGCCCCCUGGACGAAGACUGACGCUCAGGUGCGAAAGCGUGGGGAGCAAACAGGAUUAGAUACCCGCGUAGUC
rnacentral:rRNA from 1 species